rnacentral:rRNA from 1 species
CGAGCGGCGGACGGGUGAGUAAUGCAUAGGAAUCUGCCCGAUAGUGGGGGAUAACCUGGGGAAACCCAGGCUAAUACCGCAUACGUCCUACGGGAGAAAGGGGGCUUUGGCUCCCGCUAUUGGAUGAGCCUAUGUCGGAUUAGCUAGUUGGUAAGGUAAUGGCUUACCAAGGCAACGAUCCGUAGCUGGUCUGAGAGGAUGAUCAGCCACAUCGGGACUGAGACACGGCCCGAACUCCUACGGGAGGCAGCAGUGGGGAAUAUUGGACAAUGGGGGCAACCCUGAUCCAGCCAUGCCGCGUGUGUGAAGAAGGCCCUCGGGUUGUAAAGCACUUUCAGCGAGGAAGAACGCCUGUCGGUUAAUACCCGGUAGGAAAGACAUCACUCGCAGAAGAAGCACCGGCUAACUCCGUGCCAGCAGCCGCGGUAAUACGGAGGGUGCAAGCGUUAAUCGGAAUUACUGGGCGUAAAGCGCGCGUAGGUGGCUUGAUAAGCCGGUUGUGAAAGCCCCGGGCUCAACCUGGGAACGGCAUCCGGAACUGUCAGGCUAGAGUGCAGGAGAGGAAGGUAGAAUUCCCGGUGUAGCGGUGAAAUGCGUAGAGAUCGGGAGGAAUACCAGUGGCGAAGGCGGCCUUCUGGACUGACACUGACACUGAGGUGCGAAAGCGUGGGUAGCAAACAGGAUUAGAUACCCUGGUAGUCCACGCCGUAAACGAUGUCGACCAGCCGUUGGGUGCCUAGAGCACUUUGUGGCGAAGUUAACGCGAUAAGUCGACCGCCUGGGGAGUACGGCCGCAAGGUUAAAACUCAAAUGAAUUGACGGGGGCCCGCACAAGCGGUGGAGCAUGUGGUUUAAUUCGAUGCAACGCGAAGAACCUUACCUACCCUUGACAUCUACAGAAGCCGGAAGAGAUUCGGGUGUGCCUUCGGGAACUGUAAGACAGGUGCUGCAUGGCUGUCGUCAGCUCGUGUUGUGAAAUGUUGGGUUAAGUCCCGUAACGAGCGCAACCCUUGUCCUUAUUUGCCAGCACGUAAUGGUGGGAACUCUAAGGAGACUGCCGGUGACAAACCGGAGGAAGGUGGGGACGACGUCAAGUCAUCAUGGCCCUUACGGGUAGGGCUACACACGUGCUACAAUGGCCGGUACAAAGGGCGGCGAGCUCGCGAGAGUCAGCGAAUCCCUUAAAGCCGGUCUCAGUCCGGAUCGGAGUC